UACGUAGGGGGCUAGCGUUGCUCGGAAUUACUGGGCGUAAAGGGCGCGUAGGCGGUUUGUACAGUCCGGUGUGAAAUUCCCGGGCUCAACCUGGGGGCUGCACUUGAUACGUGUGGACUUGAGUGAGGAAGAGGGUCGUGGAAUUCCCAGUGUAGAGGUGAAAUUCGUAGAUAUUCGGAAGAACACCAGUGGCGAAGGCGGCUCACUGGACGGUAACUGACGCUGAGACGCGAAAGCGUGGGGAGCAAACAGG
rnacentral:rRNA from 1 species